rnacentral:rRNA from 1 species
UGGGGAAUAUUGGACAAUGGGCGAAAGCCUGAUGCAGCAACGCCGCGUGCGGGAUGACGGCCUUCGGGUUGUAAACCGCUUUCGCCUGUGACGAAGCGUGAGUGACGGUAAUGGGUAAAGAAGCACCGGCUAACUACGUGCCAGCAGCCGCGGUGAUACGUAGGGUGCGAGCGUUGUCCGGAUUUAUUGGGCGUAAAGGGCUCGUAGGUGGUUGAUCGCGUCGGAAGUGUAAUCUUGGGGCUUAACCCUGAGCGUGCUUUCGAUACGGGUUGACUUGAGGAAGGUAGGGGAGAAUGGAAUUCCUGGUGGAGCGGUGGAAUGCGCAGAUAUCAGGAGGAACACCAGUGGCGAAGGCGGUUCUCUGGGCCUUUCCUGACGCUGAGGAGCGAAAGCGUGGGGAGCGAACA